ACAACCUCACCUCCUCCACCCUUAUCCCGAACAUUGCUGUUCCACAAGACUGUGUGCUGAGCCCUGUCCGGUACUCCCUCUUCACCCACGACUGUGUUCCUAUACACAGUUCUAACACCAUCGUCAACUUGGCAGCUGACACCACGGUGCUAGGCCUGAUCCGUGUCAAUGACGAGUCAGCCUACAGUCAGAGCCCUUUCAAGAGUUAUCAAGAUCAACGAGUGGCAAAUACCAGGCACUUUGGAACAUGCAACACAGGAGCACAAUGACUUCAGAGUGCCAGCAACUGAUAGUUCGCAGUCCAACAAGGUGGAACUUCACUUACCAUGCCAUCGAGCGCUGAAAUACCUGUAUCCUGACAAAAGAACAAGACCUCCAGGAAACCUGUGAGAAGCUUCAUGUGACUCGAUUCAAAGUGGCCGAACUCGCCUUCAUACAGGAGUAUGUUCAAGUAAAUAUACAGGAGUGUUGGUGCCAACAAUCUCUAUUCUCCUUGAGAAGAUGGAGCAGAUGAAGCAUGAGACCAACCUACAUCACUGUAACCCACUUGUAGAUGCCAUCAUCAAUGUGGUGAUGCAGAGGUGUCCCCUCCAACCAACAUCUGUGAGUUAUGCAUCAACAUGUGGCUUGCUCCAUCGUCCCAGCUUGUGUAACCUGUGUCACUGAAGGGCCAGUCUGGAUUCUUGGCAUGCUGGAGUUUCUCAUAGAGCUUGUUCAAGUGUUUGCGGGCUGCUCACUUCACAACACUCUUGAGGUGUUCUAAAACUUUUGACUGAGUUGGGGAACAUUGUCAGAGCAGAAGGAAGCAGGUGUUC